UGGGGAAUAUUGGACAAUGGGCGAAAGCCUGAUCCAGCAAUGCCGCGUGAAUGAUGAAGGCCUUAGGGUUGUAAAGUUCUUUUAGUGGGGAAGAUAAUGACGGUACCCACAGAAAAAGCACCGGCUAACUUCGUGCCAGCAGCCGCGGUAAUACGAAGGGUGCAAGCGUUGUUCGGAAUUACUGGGCGUAAAGCGUGCGUAGGCGGUUUGAUAAGUUGGGAGUGAAAUCCCGGGGCUUAACCCCGGAAUUGCUUUCAAAACUAUCAAUCUAGAAUAUGGCAGGGGACAGUGGAAUUCCUAGUGUAGAGGUGAAAUUCGUAGAUAUUAGGAGGAACACCAGUGGCGAAAGCGACUGUCUGGACCAUUAUUGACGCUGAGGCACGAAAGCGUGGGGAGCAAACAGG
rnacentral:rRNA from 1 species